rnacentral:lncRNA from 1 species
CUGUGUGCACAGGAGGCAAUGAGAAGGUUGAGAGAGAUGGCUUCUUUCUGACCCCCGCACCCAUCUCUCCGGCACUUACAGGAGUGAGUAUGGGGGAAACGUCCUCUACUCUGGUCCAGGAAAGCCCAGAACGCAGAAGGAGACACAGCUGUGGGAGAGGGAACCCCUUCUCUUCUGAAGCUCCCAAGAGCACGCAAGGCCAAUAUGAGAACCAACAAGGAACGCCUCAGUGGAAGACUUUGGAAAUCCAGCGAGACCUUGGUUUCAGAGGGUUGUGAGAUGUGAAAGUGGAAGAGGGUGCGAGGGACUGGAGGCCAGUGUUCUGACGUUGAUAACGGGUCUUCUCCUGAUCCAGACAGACUUGAAGUUUGCCAGGAAAGCAACUGUCUCAAGAAUGUCAAGGAGCGGAGGCUUCCCAGACCGCAACUCCUCACUCCAGGCGCUUGAACCCGCCUCAAACAGGAAGACGAAACAAUGGCGAAGGACGCCCACCUGCCAUCCUCCUAUCUCACCAUCCCCCACGCCUGGCUGCAAGCAGCCUCUCAAGGCCAAACGCAGGCUGGUGGGAAAAUGCCAAACUGCACAAGCUACAUGCGGCCCCUCCCCUACCCAAAACCCCAAAUAAAAAUCCC